AUACGGAGGAUCCAAGCGUUAUCCGGAUUUAUUGGGUUUAAAGGGUGCGCAGGCGGGGGAUUAAGUCGGCGGUGUAAUUUUGUAGCUCAACUGUAAAAAGGCCUUUGAAACUGGUUUUCUUGAGUGCGUAAGGGGGAGGCGGAAUUCGUUGUGGUGUGGUGGAAUGCUUAGAUAUGACGAAAAACUCCGAUUGCGAAGGCAGCCUGCCGGGCCGCGACUGACGCUGAAGCUCGAAGGUGCGGGUAUCGAACAGGAUUAGAUACCCUGGUAGUCCGCACAGUAAACGAUGGAUACUCGCUGUCGGCGAUAUACGGUCGGUGGCCAAGCGAAAGCGUUAAGUAUCCCACCUGGGGAGUACGCCGGCAACGGUGAAACUCAAAGGAAUUGACGGGG
rnacentral:rRNA from 1 species